AAUUCCAAUUUUGAAAACAGGCUCAUUUUUCUACAAAUUUUUAAGUUCUAUAUGUCGAGUUCUAUGUUGUGAAUAAGCUUAACUGUUUCGGGCACGCAACUUGGUGACCAUGGAAGAACGUCCACUUACCCCAAUGAUCAGAUUGAGUUCCUGCAUUGUGACCUGCUUCGCACGCUCUACAGCUUGCAGCACUUGUUGCUGAUGAUCGGCCUGUAGGAAUGGAAGUAGCUGGUUGAUCAGUGUGUUUAGACGCUUGGCGAUUUCCGUUUGCUUGUGCAUUUCCACAUUAAGGCCAUAGGACAUUUCAUAGUACUGCGUGGAAAUGUGUGGGAGAAAAGGAUUAGAAAACAUACUGAAAUUGAAAGUUGAUCAUUAAUAACUAUUUUUACCAUAACAUAAUGGCGCUGCAUUUCGGUCUUUUCGUUUGCCAGCUUCUCGCACUCCAAUUUGAUGCUGAAAUUCACAGGAAAAAUAAUCAAAAGGCCAAAUUAGUUUAGUUGAAAGAAAUCUCGGGCAACGCUUCCGUCGUCGCGCCGGCUAUAAAAUCCUAUGACCAGCAACGCAUAUGGCUCGUUGCCUGGCAAACCGGUUUACACAGCCAAAGACAUGCGAGACUGAAAAGCAGCCCAGCAGAGAAUAAUUCGAAAUCGGAAAUUCUUUAUUCUAUUUUAGUGUAGAAUGUUCGUUAGACAACAGUUUCUUGAGACUUUUAGCCCGUGAAUUGUUCAAAAACUAAAAACU